UCCUUCAGUAUCGAACUUUAUGUUCGUUCUUCGGGUUAUGUUGCAUCGACUUUGCUGUGGAAUGAACAGGAGACAACAAUAGAUGAUUGCAGCAGCCCGGAAGUGCCUGUAGGCAAGCUAAGCUAACAAGAGUUAGAUGACGUUUCAGAUGGUCCUCUUCCGCCCAUCAGAGCGACCCCUCACCGCUCUGGACAGCUCUGCCCCGCGUCUCUUGCGCAUGGCGCCGCUGCGUCACAGCCUGCGCGUGGCGCCGCGUCACGUCGCCCAAGCCAGUGAAGACACAGCGUCCACAUUUUCCGCGCCCGGAUGCAGUGGAGAGGACGCCGACUGCCUGGAUCCCGCGGUGUUCAACAAAAGCAUCUCGCAACGCUGGAGACGCCUGCGACGCCGCUGUUCAUCCUUUACGACUCCGUCGCCGGGGUCUUGCGCGUCGCCGCCGUCGCAGCCACAGUGUGAGCGCCUGCUGUUGCCCGCUGAUCACGCCGUGGUGAUCAGCAUGCCCCCCGCGACCCCUCUUCGGAGCAGCGCCAGUAGCCAUCACCUGUUCCCCGAAGUUCUGCGCACCAAGCUGAAUCGCCUGCACGCCGGGCUGCGCAAGCGCAGAGCAGUGUCCGUGCACGAAAUGUGCACGUCUGCCCCGAGUCAGCCCACGUUCUACGUCCCUUCGCCACUUUCGAAAACUUCGGAAGAAGAGUUCUCCGAGAGGUCCGGUCCGGUAUCUCUUCCUCCGUUUGCUUUUCGGGACGCAGACACCCGGCAGCGGAAGUUGUCCAGCGCCUGCUCUUCCGGGAGGGGGACGGCCACGCCCCCGACAGAGGACUUGGACGGUAGGAGUACCGACAGUGCGUCGUCGUGUGCUUCUUCGUCGCGAUGUAGAGGGAAGUCCUGUUCGCCGUCCCCGCCACACGAUCAGGGUUACCACAGCAUCGAGGGCGACCAGCGGCGGAGCAGAAGGUGGUCAGUGGCGGAUCAGCCAUGCGGCUUUGUGAUCGGUGGCAGCGUAUCUUGCGGCUUUGGUACAGUGCCCGAGGCGGGCCCGACCUCACUGCCGUACGUCUCGGAGGAGAGCAGUGACGUGCGCAGCAAGCAGCGCCAGUUGAUACAACAGCUGCAGGAGGCACUGGGCGAGAAGCAGCAGCUGAACAGUGUACGGCGUAACCACCGCAGCAGUGGCGAUCUGGCGCAGCGACCGAAGGUGUCAGAACGGACAGAGCUGGACGAUUCUUCUGGUGAGGAGGAACAUGAAGAUAACGAUGAGGAGGAGGAGGAGGAAGAAGAGAGCAAGUUUUGCACGCUGCCGCGGCACGGCGCUGGGCGUGGCGCAGCCUUCACAAUCCUGUCAGUGGCCUUCACGAAAGGACCAGGUCAUAAAGGCCUGGGAUUCAGUAUUGUGGGGGGGCGUGACUCCCCCAAAGGGAACAUGGGCAUCUAUGUGAAGACUGUGUUUCCACAUGGCCAGGCGGCUGACAGCGGCAGGCUUAAAGAGGGUGACGAGGUACUAGCAGUGAAUGGCAAGGCAUUGCAUGGACUCAGUCACCAGGAGGCCAUUGCAGUGUUCAAAGAGAUCCGGACAGGUCAGGUGGUGUUGCAUAUUGGUCGCAGAGUGCCGAAACGUCGGCGUGAAGCACUGCCCUGCCCACACAUCUAGCAGAGACCCCGUUUCCUGUAGCACAUGCAGUCUUCAGAGCGUGCUUCAUUGUGUGAGCCACAGGAAUGCCACCUUGUGGGCACUAACUCCAUGCAGCCAAGUCCUUCUUGAGAAGCCACCAGUCGUUCAGCUACUCAAGAAUUUCCCAACAUUUUGUGGAACCAGAAUGUUCAUUGCAAUGUUUCAAGAGCCCGCUGCUGGCCCUUGCUCUGAGCCAGAUGAAUCCACUCCAUAUGACACACUGAUAAGGGAAACAACCAUAAUGAGGUGGAGAAUCAGUACCUUGCAUCUUCGGCUUAAUGGUAAGAGGUGAACUUGUCUGGCAGUAAGAACACGUUCCUACAACAGGAGAAAGUUAUCAUUGCUCAGAAAGUAGUACCAUUUGCAGAAUUGUGUAAUGAUUUCCAUAUGCAGUUUGUAACCAGUAUUUGCAAUGAUGAUUAUAUGAUGAGUGUUGCAGACUCAGAGAGAAGGGACACAAACAGAUCUACUGCGACUGACAGUCUUACAGUCUGUCAAGGAGUCUGCUGUGCACAGAUAAACUUUGGAAGCUGCUGCUCAAAUGAUUUUCCACUCAAGGCAUCACUGAAAUAAUUCCUUCUCACUCGCACCUUCUUCCCUCUUGAUGUAUUUAUGACAGCUGUUCCGAUGAAACCUGGCCAUAUUUUGCCCCCUGAAGUAAGUGCUCAAGGUUGUAGAGUCCAGUCAGACGAAGAUGUUGAGGCUGUAAUAGUGCCCCAGUUCCAGCAGCAGCCGCCGGGGAAGUUCUUUGCGGAGUGGAACCAGGGAGUCCUGCCCCACCACCCAUGGAAACUAUUUUAAUGGUCUCUUCUGUUCCCUAGAAGCAUCCCGACAUGCGGUUCCUUUGAACGACGUCUAGUACCGCUACAUGCCUCUGUUUCAUUGUAAAUGUUAUAUGUACUCUUCUGUAUGUGGACAUUUUUGUACAUAUGGAAAGUAGCCAAUUUGUGUGUUCGUAGGUAGAGAGGAAACUGUGUAUGUGUCUGGUUAUGGCUGCAUUAAGUUGGUAAUAAACGUACAUACCGUGAUUGUAGUGUGAUGUUUCUGAAUAUCCGGUGAAUUUUAAUACUGCAAACCAGCAAACAUUUGUGAAUAUAUAAUUGAGUCUUGUC